ACCUGUUGUUUCCUGACUUUUUAAUGAUUGCCAUUCUAACUGGUGUGAGAUGGUAUCUCAUUGUGGUUUUGAUUUGCAUUUCUCUGAUGGCCAGUGAUGAUGAGCAUUUUUUCAUGUGUUUUUUGGCUGCAUAAAUGUCUUUUUUUGAGAAGUGUCUGUUCAUGUCCUUCACCCACUUUUUGAUGGGGUUGUUUGUUUUUUUCUUGUAAAUUUGUUUGAGUUCAUUGUAGAUUGUGGAAACUCUUUAAAAGGCUCAUAUCUUUUGACUUAAUAAUUCUACCUUUGGGUAUCUAUUGAAGGAAACAACCCCUUAAAGUUUUUACUUUACGUAUACAGAUGCCCACAGAAUUUUUUAAAUUAAAAAAUAGAAA
rnacentral:lncRNA from 1 species